UGCAGUCGUACGAGAACACCCUAGCUUGCUAGGGUAAGUAAAGUGGCGCACGGGUGAGUAACGCGUGGGUAAUCUACCUUCGAAUUGGGGAUAACGUUGCGAAAGCGACGCUAAUACCGAAUAAAAUCCAUUAAUCUUCGGGUUUUUGGAUCAAGGGUGGCCUCUACAUGUAAGCUACUGUUUGAAGAUGAGCCCGCGUACCAUUAGCUUGUUGGUGGGGUAAUGGCCUACCAAGGCAGCGAUGGUUAGCUGGUCUGAGAGGAUGAUCAGCCACACUGGAACUGACACACGGUCCAGACUCCUACGGGAGGCAGCAGUGAGGAAUUUUGCGCAAUGGGGGAAACCCUGACGCAGCAACGCCGCGUGAGUGAUGAAGGCUUUCGGGUCGUAAAGCUCUGUCAAGUGGGAAGAACCUGCAGUAUGCUAAUAUCAUAUUGCACUGACGGUACCACUGAAGGAAGCACCGGCUAACUCCGUGCCAGCAGCCGCGGUAAUACG
rnacentral:rRNA from 1 species